UGGGGAAUAUUGGACAAUGGGCGAAAGCCUGAUCCAGCCAUGCCGCGUGUGUGAAGAAGGUCUUCGGAUUGUAAAGCACUUUAAGUUGGGAGGAAGGGCAUUAACCUAAUACGUUAGUGUUUUGACGUUACCGACAGAAUAAGCACCGGCUAACUCUGUGCCAGCAGCCGCGGUAAUACAGAGGGUGCAAGCGUUAAUCGGAAUUACUGGGCGUAAAGCGCGCGUAGGUGGGUUGUUAAGUUGGAUGUGAAAUCCCCGGGCUCAACCUGGGAACUGCAUUCAAAACUGACUGACUAGAGUAUGGUAGAGGGUGGUGGAAGUUCCUGUGUAGCGGUGAAAUGCGUAGAUAUAGGAAGGAACACCAGUGGCGAAGGCGACCACCUGGACUAAUACUGACACUGAGGUGCGAAAGCGUGGGGAGCAAACA
rnacentral:rRNA from 1 species